rnacentral:guide_RNA from 1 species
GAAGAGGGUACAAUCCCUCGAAACUUGUUAGUAU